rnacentral:rRNA from 1 species
CCUACGGGAGGCAGCAGUGGGGAAUAUUGCACAAUGGGGGAAACCCUGAUGCAGCGACGCCGCGUGAAGGAAGAAGUAUUUAGGUAUGUAAACUUCUAUCAGCAGGGAAGAAAAUGACGGUACCUGACUAAGAAGCCACGGCUAACUACGUGCCAGCAGCCGCGGUAAUACGUAGGUGGCCAGCGUUAUCCGGAUUUACGGGGUGUAAAGGGAGCGUAGGCGGUGAUGCAAGUCAGAAGUGAAAGCCCGGAGGGCAACUGCGGGACUGCUUUUGAAACUGUGUGACUAGAUUGCAGGAGAGGUAAGUGGAAUGCCUAGUGUAGCGGUGAAAUGCGUAGAUAUUAGGAGGAACACCAGUGGCGAAGGCGGCUUACUGGACUGUAAAUGACGCUGAGGCUCGAAAGCGUGGGGAGCAAACAGGAUUAGAUACCCUAGUAGUC